GACGAACGCUGGCGGCGUGCUUAACACAUGCAAGUCGAACGGAAAGGCCCUGCUUGCCGGGUACUCGAGUGGCGAACGGGUGAGUAACACGUGGGUGAUCUGCCCUGCACUUCGGGAUAAGCCUGGGAAACUGGGUCUAAUACCGGAUAGGAGCCAUUUUUAGUGUGAUGGUUGGAAAGUUUUUUUCGGUGUAGGAUGAGCUCGCGGCCUAUCAGCUUGUUGGUGGGGUAAUGGCCUACCAAGGCGGCGACGGGUAGCCGGCCUGAGAGGGUGGACGGCCACAUUGGGACUGAGAUACGGCCCAGACUCCUACGGGAGGCAGCAGUGGGGAAUAUUGCACAAUGGGCGCAAGCCUGAUGCAGCGACGCCGCGUGGGGGAUGACGGCCUUCGGGUUGUAAACUCCGUUCGCUAGGGACGAAGCUUUUUGUGACGGUACCUAGAUAAGAAGCACCGGCUAACUACGUG
rnacentral:rRNA from 1 species